rnacentral:rRNA from 1 species
GACGAACGCUGGCGGCGUGCUUAACACAUGCAAGUCGAACGGAAAGGCCCUGCUUUUGUGGGGUGCUCGGGUGGCGAACGGGUAAGUAACACGUGAGUAACCUGCCCUGGACUUUGGGAUAACUUCAGGAAACUGGGGCUGAUACCGGAUAGGAUCUCCUGCUGCAUGGUGGGGGUUGGAAAGUUUCGGCGGUUGGGGAUGGACUCGCGGCUUAUCAGCUUGUUGGUGGGGUAGUGGCUUACCAAGGCUUUGACGGGUAGCCGGCCUGAGAGGGUGACCGGCCACAUUGCGACUGAGGUCACGCUCAGACUACUACGGGCGGCAGCGGUCGAGAGUAUUGUCCAGUCGCAGGCAGCAUGAUGAAGAAACGUGGCGUGCGGGAUCACGCACUCCGACUCGUCAACCGCCUUCGCCUUAGACGAAGCGAGAGUGACCGUACUGGGUAAAGCAGACCCGGCUAACUAUAUU